rnacentral:rRNA from 1 species
UACGUAGGGUGCGAGCGUUGUCCGGAAUUAUUGGGCGUAAAGGGCUCGUAGGCGGUUUGUCGCGUCGGGAGUGAAAACUCAGGGCUUAACCCCGGGCCUGCAUUCGAUACGGGCAGACUAGAGUUCGGUAGGGGAGUCUGGAAUUCCUGGUGUAGCGGUGAAAUGCGCAGAUAUCAGGAGGAACACCGGUGGCGAAGGCGGGUCUCUGGGCAGUAACUGACGCUGAGGAGCGAAAGCGUGGGGAGCGAACAGG